rnacentral:tRNA from 1 species
UCCUGGGUAGCUCAGUCGGUUGAGCAUCUGACUUUGGCUCAGGUCACGAUCUUACGGCUCAGGAG